AGAACGAACGCUGGCGGCAGGCCUCAAACAUGCAAGUCUAGGGGGUGUAGCAAUACAUCACCGGCGGACGGGUGCGUAACACGUGGGAAUAUACCUUUUGGUUCGGAACAACGCAGGGAAAUUUGCGCUAAUACCGAAUGUGCCCUUACGGGGAAAGAUUUAUCGCCAAAGGAUUAGCCCGCGUAGGAUUAGCUAGUUGGUGAGGUAAUGGCUCACCAAGGCUCCGAUCCUUAGCUGUUCUGAGAGGAAGAUCAGCCACACUGGGACUGAGACACGGCCCAGACUCCUACGGGAGGCAGCAGUUGGGAAUCUUGGACAAUGGGGGAAACCCUGAUCCAGCCAUGCCGCGUGAGUGAUGAAGGCCUUCGGGUUGUAAAACUCUUUCGACGGGGACGAUAAUGACGGUACCGUAGAAGAAGCUCCGGCUAACUCGUGCCAGCAGCCGC
rnacentral:rRNA from 1 species